rnacentral:rRNA from 1 species
UACGUAGGUGGCAAGCGUUGUCCGGAUUUACUGGGCGUAAAGGAUGCGUAGGCGGACAUUUAAGUCAGAUGUGAAAUACCCGAGCUUAACUUGGGUGCUGCAUUUGAAACUGGGUGUCUAGAGUGCAGGAGAGGUAAGUGGGAUUCCUAGUGUAGCGGUGAAAUGCGUAGAGAUUAGGAAGAACACCAGUGGCGAAGGCGACUUACUGGACUGUAACUGACGCUGAGGCAUGAAAGCUAGGGGAGCAAACAGG